AGUGAACGCUGGCGGUAGGCCUAACACAUGCAAGUCGAACGGCAGCACAGUAAGAGCUUGCUCUUACGGGUGGCGAGUGGUGGACGGGUGAGGAAUACAUCGGAAUCUACUUUUUCGUGGGGGAUAACGUAGGGAAACUUACGCUAAUACCGCAUACGACCUACGGGUGAAAGCAGGGGAUCUUCGGACCUUGCGCGAUUGAAUGAGCCGAUGUCGGAUUAGCUAGUUGGCGGGGUAAAGGCCCACCAAGGCGACGAUCCGUAGCUGGUCUGAGAGGAUGAUCAGCCACACUGGAACUGGGACACGGUCCAGACUCCUACGGGAGGCAGCAGUGGGGAAUAUUGGACAAUGGGCGCAAGCCUGAUCCAGCCAUACCGCGUGGGUGAAGAAGGCCUUCGGGUUGUAAAGCCCUUUUGUUGGGAAAGAAAAGCAGCAGGUUAAUACCCCGCUGUUCUGACGGUACCCAAAGAAUAAGCACCGGCUAACUUCGUG
rnacentral:rRNA from 1 species